UGACGGGAAAGAGCGGGGCGGUUUCCCCUCAGAGACACGCACGCGCGCACACACCGAAACCAGCGGUUCCUCAAAGAGUUGGUUUUGUUGAGCUUCUGUCAAAGUGACCGAGUUUUGUUACCUGCUGACUGGGGUCGCGCCUCAUUAUAAAUGCGGUAUUUUUAAACGGCUUUCCUGUGAAAGCGACAAUUACGAGAAGGUCAAAAUAAGACCAAGUGAGUGCCAAGAAUCCGGCCGAGAGGACCGCAGACUGCCCCUGAACCUAAUGAAGCUGCUCAGUCUGAGCUUCUUACCACAGAAUCAAAUCUGACCUUUCUUUGAGUACCAUGUCUCAUUCUCUGGCGAACUGGUGAAAAUGGAUCAUACUCAGGACUGUAAGGAGGACAAAGCAGAUUUUACUCCACUGCUAAUGCAGAAAAUGAUUUAAGUCGUGAUCAGAUGAAUUUGUUCACAAACCUCAAUUUCACCAGUAAUACUUUGUGGCCCUUGUCAGAGGAUGAGUACUCAGCACUGUAGUUACAUGAUGGUCAAGCUCUAACACCAGGCUACAGAAGCUUGCUUCUGCCACUGAUUUUUAUUUUUUGCCAUUCAUAACUUAAAAUUUCGAGUUCAUUUCCCAAACUUUGAUUGAAACUCCCCCCACCUUUCUCAUGUUUCUGAGGUGCUAAAGCAAACAGAAGCAACUGCUCAUAAACGUCAUUUGGUUAUAAAAAUACUGAUAUUCAUAUUCUUACUUGAACUCAGUGUUUAAUUUGUAAAUCAGAAAGGAACAGAGAGAAGGUCAGAGAGAAAGCUGCAUUCGUUAAUCACAGUAAUAUAGUGUUGGCUUUUUGUUGGUUCAACUUUGUGUUUGUGAAGCAAGGUUAACUGUUGCUUCUCUUUUGUGAACCGACUGCUUCCCGUCAUAUUUCAUCCCUGUUUCCAGAACAAAAGGACUGGCUUUGUGUCAGAAGUUAGUGAGGGUGACCUCUACCUAUACGACUUACAAGAGCUACAAUUGGAAAAACCCAGAACCUCUUCAUCAAACCACGUCUUUGUUCAUAUACAAGUCAUGUGUAAAAAAGUGGAGGCAACGUCAUCAAAUGUCUUCUUUACAGUGUAAAGAGUAAAUUUAGGUCCAUCGCAGAAUCAUUAAACCACAACUUCUUCAUCAUCUGGAUUCAAACUUGUGAUUUCUUUCAGUAUAUUACCCUCUCUCUCGUUCUGGUGUUUUUAUACGUAUAAUAGAAUGACCUCCAUCACUUUGGCUACACUUUAGUGAAAAGGAGAAGGAAAAAAAAAAGAAACCACAUUUUUUCAGAAACAUUUUCCUCUUUUUAUUCCAAGAAAAAAAGUUUUUUCAUCCCAAACAAGAAAAUAAAAUAAAACAAACUUAUAUUAAUAAUAACAACAGUAAUCAAUCAUUAAGAGGAUAAGUAUGACAAUUCUCUAUUUUUCUCUGUUUUUUUUUGUUUGUUUUUUUUUUAAAUUUGACGCUUUUUCUCUAUGAUGAUAUUGGUCGUGGUCAAUUAAACAUGCAGCUAAAUAAGUCCAAUGAUGAUGAUGAUGAAGGUAGAGGAGGAAGAGGAGAAAGACAAAAAGAGGAAUGGGGUGUGGGGGGAUGUUACAGGCCGUGAAGCUGGAGGCGCUUUUUCUGUUUUAGAAAGUAAAUGUGUCGACAUAAAAUGGCCGCCAGUAGCGGUGGGGGGUUGGUUUGGCUUUUUACAGCCAAGCUAAGCUUAGCUAGCAUUAAAACAUAAUAAGACUUUUUUGUGUGAUAGCUUGCUCGCUAAAGACUUUGGGUAACUUAGCCUAAACACAAUGA